UGUUCCCAUUCCCUCGCCAAAAGGAUAGCUUUGUUGAAGGUCUCCUGUGGUGAAUAUGUCCUGCUUUGGAAGAGGAGUUGGUUGCGAGAGCACCAAAUGGACCAGCAGAUCCAGGGGAGAAGAUUGAUGGAGACUCCAUAUGGUGGGAGGUUCUUCUUUCUCUGUGAGCUCACCAGGAGUCCUCGGAAGGAGUUGAGUGUAUUGUGAUCCAUAUAGCUCUCCCAAGGUCCUGACUUCCAAACUUCUUGCGCAAAGCGACAGUUGAAGAGAGCGUGUAGCGUGGUCUCCUGGCAGUUACAGUGGACACAGUUCACAUUCGACGAGAUUCCACGCCGUGAUAGGUUCGCACCUGUAGGGAGUGAGUCUUGAGCCGCUUUCCACAGAAACAUCUUGAGCUUUGGGGAAGAGGGUAUAUUCCAGACGUUCUUCUUCCAAUCAAAGUCCCCCGAGUUGUUAUCUUGGGCGACAGUAGCGGCUGCAUUGUUGUUGUUGGGAUCUUUUUGUGGCUCUGUUAGCAGUCUUGAUAGUGGGACUGUUGGUCGGGAGCAAGGGUAAUGCAGUGAGUUAUAUCCUGACUUAACUGAGUAUGAGCUAGAACUGUCUGCCUUCCAUACGUAUGCAUCUGGAGCUCCUAGGAGGCUGGGUUUGAUCAGUUGGAUAUGGUGAAGUAGCUCUGGUCCAUAGGGCGUUGGCGAUGGAGCAGAUGGGAUCCAAGGGUCUUGCCAUACCCUAGUUGAUUCCCCAUUGCCGAUAGACUUCCCUAGGUGGUUGAGGGGUAGAUCACAUCCCCAAAGAAUGCAUUUCCAACCGUGAGAUGAGGAACCAUGAUUGACUUUGAGGAAGGAUGAUUUAUGGCAGUACUUUCCCAGUAGAACACGGGCCAAGAGACAAUCCGGUUUCCUUAUUAGUCUCCAAGCUAUCUUAGCUAAGAGUGCCUGGUUGAAGAGGAUGAUGUCGCGAAAUCCUAGGCCGCCUAGAGCUUUUGGCUUUGUGAGGCUCAUCGCAAAGGUUGGAACAGAUGACAGGACGGCUUGCAGCAUUGUAGCCUUGCCUGCAGUUGAGAGGAACCUCGUAGUCCAGCUAAUGCAGCGUUGCUUGAUCUUGUCUACAAUUGAGGCGAAAAGGUCUCUCUUCUUCCGUCCAAAGUGUUCUGGAUUGAGGACAAAGCAAUGCAGCAGUGUGCGUUGGAGUAGGUGAAUAUCAUGGUGUCGUCUGCGAAUAGCAGGUGAUUAAUUCUCGGACUGUUUCUGGCCACUCUAAUGCCUGCUAGAGUACCGCCUGACUGAGCUUUCCUGCAGAGGCCUGAAAGUACUUCUCCGCAGAGAAUGAAGAUAUAGGGGACAGAGGAUCGCCCUGGGGUAUGCCCCUUUGAGCUGUAGAUAUCUUGAGGUAGUUGAGGACUUCAUGAGUGAUCAAGAUGUUUUCAGUGAUGAUUCUUCCAGGUAUGAAUGCCGAU